GGUUAAGUGAAUAAGGGCGCACGGUGGAUGCCUUGGCACUAGGAGCCGAUGAAGGACGGGACUAACACCGAUAUGCUUUGGGGAGCUGUAAGUAAGCUAUGAUCCAGAGAUUUCCGAAUGGGGGAACCCAAUAUCUUUUAUAGGAUAUUACUUUUCAGUGAAUACAUAGCUGAUUAGAGGUAGACGCAGAGAACUGAAACAUCUUAGUACCUGCAGGAAGAGAAAGAAAAAUCGAUUCCCUGAGUAGCGGCGAGCGAAACGGGAAGAGCCCAAACCAACAAGCUUGCUUGUUGGGGUUGUAGGACUCCAAUAUGGUAGUCUGUUAGUAUAGUUGAAGGAUUUGGAAAAUUCCGCUAAAGAGGGUGAAAGCCCCGUAGACGAAAUGCUGACAACACCUAGGAGGAUCCUGAGUACGGCGGAACACGAGAAAUUCCGUCGGAAUCCGCGGGGACCAUCCCGCAAGGCUAAAUACUCCCUAGUGACCGAUAGUGAACCAGUACCGUGAGGGAAAGGUGAAAAGCACCCCGGAAGGGGAGUGAAAUAGAUCCUGAAACCGUGUGCCUACAACAAGUCAAAGCUCGUUAAUGAGUGAUGGCGUGCCUUUUGUAGAAUGAACCGGCGAGUUACGAUUGCAUGCGAGGUUAAGUCGAAGAGACGGAGCCGCAGCGAAAGCGAGUCUGAAUAGGGCGAAUGAGUAUGUAGUCGUAGACCCGAAACCAUGUGAUCUACCCAUGUCCAGGUUGAAGGUGCGGUAAAACGCACUGGAGGACCGAACCCACGUAC
rnacentral:rRNA from 1 species